rnacentral:tRNA from 1 species
UUCCCUGUGGCUCAGUUGGUAGAGCAUGGUGUUUGCAACACCAGGGUUGUGGGUUUGAUUCCCAUGGGGGACC